CAGGUUGUGUUUGGUCAUGGUGUGUUAUCACAGCAAUGGAAUCCCUAACGAAGACAAUCGAUGUUACUUUGAUAAAGGCUGAUAGCUCACAUGGGAGAAAACCAGUUCAUACGAACAACCCAGGGCAAAGGACAACAGGAUCUGAUUAGGAGGAGAGACAGUUUGUUUCCAAACCAGAAGCCAUGGAUUCUUUCAUAUAUAACCGUGCUUCUGCCAGGUGUAUUGGUGCACGCCUUUGAUCCCAGCACUGGAGAGGAGAGGCAGAGGCAGCCAGAUCUCAAGUUCAAGGCCUGCCUGGUCUACAGAGGGAGUUCCAGGACAACCAGGCUGCAUAGUAGAUGUUCCUAGCAACUCCAAUCCACAACAGAAAGCCAGCUGCCCCAUGCCGUCCUGGAACCUUUCAUUAUUGGCUGAAAUCAUUUUGUGGGUGAGCGGGGUCCCCAGGACAGCUUUGGAACUGC